GACGAACGCUGGCGGCGUGCCUAAUACAUGCAAGUCGAGCGAAGUUUUUCUGGUGCUUGCACCGGAAAAACUUAGCGGCGAACGGGUGAGUAACACGUAAAGAACCUGCCUCAUAGACUGGGACAACUAUUGGAAACGAUAGCUAAUACCGGAUAACAGCAUUAACUGCAUGGUUGAUGUUUAAAAGUUGGUUUUGCUAACACUAUGAGAUGGCUUUGCGGUGCAUUAGCUAGUUGGUGGGGUAAAGGCCUACCAAGGCGACGAUGCAUAGCCGACCUGAGAGGGUGAUCGGCCACACUGGGACUGAGACACGGCCCAGACUCCUACGGGAGGCAGCAGUAGGGAAUCUUCCGCAAUGGGCGAAAGCCUGACGGAGCAACGCCGCGUGAGUGAAGAAGGAUUUCGGUUCGUAAAGCUCUGUUGUUAGGGAAGAAUGAUUGUGUAGUAACUAUACACAGUAGAGACGGACCUAACCA
rnacentral:rRNA from 1 species